GACGAACGCUGGCGGCGUGCCUAAUACAUGCAAGUUGAGCGAUGAAGCUUGGUGCUUGCCCCAAUUUGAAGAGCAGCGAACGGGUGAGUAACGCGUGGGGAAUCUGCCUUUGAGCGGGGGACAACAUUUGGAAACGAAUGCUAAUACCGCAUAACAACUUUAAACAUAAGUUUCAAGUUUGAAAGAUGCAAUUGCAUCACUCAAAGAUGAUCCCGCGUUGUAUUAGCUAGUUGGUGAGGUAAAGGCUCACCAAGGCGAUGAUACAUAGCCGACCUGAGAGGGUGGUCGGCCACAUUGGGACUGAGACACGGCCCAAACUCCUACGGGAGGCAGCAGGAGGGAAUCUUCGGCAAUGGACGAAAGUCUGACCGAGCAACGCCGCGGGAGUGAAGAAGGUUUUCGGAUCGUAAAACUCUGUUGGUAGAGAAGAACGUUGGUGAGAGUGGAAAGCUCAUCAAGUGACGGUAACUACCCAGAAAGGGACGGCUAACUACGUG
rnacentral:rRNA from 1 species